GACGAACGCUGGCGGCGUGCUUAACACAUGCAAGUCGAACGGUGAACCUCUUCGGAGGGGAUCAGUGGCGAACGGGUGAGUAACACGUGGGCAACCUGCCCCCGGCUCUGGGAUAACUCCAAGAAAUUGGGGCUAAUACCGGAUGUUCACCGCUUCCCGCAUGGGGGGUGGUGGAAAGGGGUUCCGGCUGGGGCUGGGCCCGCGGCCUAUCAGCUGGUUGGUGGGGUAGUGGCCUACCAAGGCGACGACGGGUAGCCGGCCUGAGAGGGUGACCGGCCACCCUGGGACUGAGACACGGCCCAGACUCCUACGGGCGGCAGCAGUGGGGAAUAUUGCGCAAUGGGCGGAAGCCUGACGCAGCGACGCCGCGUGGGGGAUGACGGCCUUCGGGUUGUAAACCUCUUUCAGCAGGGACGAAGCGCAAGUGACGGUACCUGCAGAAGAAGCACCGGCCAACUACGUG
rnacentral:rRNA from 1 species